rnacentral:rRNA from 1 species
UACGUAGGGCGCAAGCGUUGUCCGGAAUUAUUGGGCGUAAAGAGCGCGUAGGCGGCUUGUCACGUCGGGUGUGAAAGCCCGGGGCUUAACCCCGGGUCUGCAUUCGAUACGGGCUAGCUAGAGUGUGGUAGGGGAGAUCGGAAUUCCUGGUGUAGUGGUGAAAUGCGCAGAUAUCAGGAGGAACACCGGUGGCGAAGGCGGAUCUCUGGGCCAUUACUGACGCUGAGGAGCGAAAGCCAGGGGAGCGAACGGG